AUGAAAUGAAGAUCUUAUUAGUGUCCUAAUCAUUCCAGGACAUGAGAGUGAGGAAUGGUUAUGGGAACAAUUGAAGGAUCCAUGUAAUGAGAUGAGAAGCCAACCUUCUUUUUUGAUAAUGAUAAUUUGACGCAGAACUAUCUAAUUGAUCAGCACAGUAACCACCACCUAUCACUUUCAUAAUUCUUCCUAAUCCAUCAGAACAUCACAACUCAGAGUAUUCAGCUUGCAGAUAUGUGUUGCUUUUUGCCAUAAUUAACACACAGUUAAAUAUUAAAGCCAUGUCUCCCUAAGGUUCCC